rnacentral:misc_RNA from 1 species
AUGAAAACAAGGAACAAUUACUGAAAUCACCAGAUUUUAAUCACAGUGAAAACCAAUUUUAUCCAAUGCAUCAAUUCACGUUUCUUUAAAUAUUUUCUCCUUUAAAAACUUUCCACGAAUUAAUCUGCUAAUCAUAUUGUACGAUUAAUCUAUACAAUAUCAGAUUGCUCCAUAACAUUAAGGGAAAAAAAAUUGAAGGUAUGAUAUUCUACUGAUACAAAAACAUAUGCACAUUGAGUAACCAGUAAAAAAAAUAUCAAAAUCCAGUGUCAUCAAGCUUCAAUUUGUCAAACUACCCAAUUCCAAACUGAGUAUCAAACGCAUAUUGUGAGAUAAAUACAAAAUAUUGGUCAACCUACUCGCACCGGGCAAUCUAAAGUAAGGGCCAUUUCAUUACAAUCUUUUUAAUUCAACAUGAGACCGAUAGUUGCAUUAAAGAUUAAAAAACUCACUAGAUAUCAAACUAUUGAAUAACCUCUCCAUAAAAAUUUGAGAAAUAGUUCAAUCAGGGCUCAGUUUAUGAAAAUCAUGGCUGCUCAAAUAAAUCUAACACACUCCAUGAUUUGGCUGAGAAUAAACUCUUACAUAUUAAGGUUGAAAACAAAAUAAUCAUUGUUCCUCUAAUAAUAAAUGACUAAAACAAAUAAAUUUCUAGUCUUAGUUACCACUCUCAAGUGGAUGUGAUCUUUUUCAAUGAACCCAAUUGGAGCUACCAAACAGUUUCACUACUACACUGAUUAAAA